rnacentral:rRNA from 1 species
CAACCUGAGAGUUUGAUCCUGGCUCAGAACGAACGCUGGCGGCAGGCCUAACACAUGCAAGUCGAACGGGGACCUUCGGGUCUUACGUGGCGCACGGGUGAGUAACGCGUGGGAAUCUACCCCAAAGUCGGGGAUAACCGCUGGAAACGGCGGCUAAUACCGCAUACGCCUAUCGGGGCAAAGCUUUUGCGCUUUGGGAGGAGCCCGCGUCCGAUUAGCUAGUUGGUGGGGUAAAGGCCUACCAAGGCUACGAUCGGUAGCUGGUCUGAGAGGAUGAUCAGCCACACUGGGACUGAGACACGGCCCAGACUCCUACGGGAGGCAGCAGUGGGGAAUCUUGGACAAUGGGGGCAACCCUGAUCCAGCCAUGCCGCGUGGGUGAAGAAGGCCUUAGGGUUGUAAAGCCCUUUCGGCGGGGAAGAUGAUGACGGUACCCGCAGAAGAAGCCCCGGCUAACUCCGUGCCAGCAGCCGCGGUAAUACGGAGGGGGCAAGCGUUGUUCGGAAUCACUGGGCGUAAAGGGCGCGUAGGCGGACCACCAAGUCAGGGGUGAAAGCCCUGGGCUCAACCUAGGAAGUGCCCUUGAAACUGAUGGUCUUG